UACCCGCAGCGCAAGUGGUGGUCAUUAUUAUUGGGCCUAAAGCGUCCGUAGCUGGCUUGUUAGAUGCCUGGGUAAAUCGAUGCGCUCAACGCAUCGAACUCCGGGUAGACCGGCAAGCUUGGGACCGGGAGAGAUGUGAGCUACUCGAGGGGUAGGGGUAAAAUCCUGUAAUCCUUCGGGGAGGACCAGUGGCGAAGGCGUCACAUUAGAACGGCUCCGACAGUGAGGGACGAAGCCCUGGGGCGCAAACCGG
rnacentral:rRNA from 1 species